rnacentral:rRNA from 1 species
UCCAGACUCCUACGGGAGGCAGCAGUGAGGAAUAUUGGUCAAUGGGCGGGAGCCUGAACCAGCCAAGCCGCGUGAGGGAAGAAGGUACAGCGUAUCAUAAACCUCUUUUGUCAGGGAGCAAAGGCGGGGACUAGUCCCCGGAUGAGGGUACCUGAAGAAAAAGCAUCGGCUAACUCCGUGCCAGCAGCCGCGGUAAUACGGAGGAUGCGAGCGUUAUCCGGAUUUAUUGGGUUUAAAGGGAGCGUAGGUGGAUUGUUAAGUCAGUUGUGAAAGUUUGCGGCUCAACCGUAAAAUUGCAGUUGAAACUGGCAGUCUUGAGUACAGUAGAGGUGGGCGGAAUUCGUGGUGUAGCGGUGAAAUGCUUAGAUAUCACGAAGAACUCCGAUUGCGAAGGCAGCUCACUGGACUGCAACUGACACUGAGGCUCGAAAGUGUGGGUAUCAAACAGGAUUAGAUACCCGUGUA